UACGGAGGGUGCAAGCGUUAAUCGGAAUUACUGGGCGUAAAGCGUGCGCAGGCGGUUUGUUAAGUCUGCUGUGAAAUCCCCGAGCUCAACUUGGGAAUUGCAGUGGAUACUGGCAGGCUGGAGUAUGGUAGAGGAAGGUGGAAUUCCCGGUGUAGCAGUGAAAUGCGUUGAGAUCGGAAGGAACGCCCGUGGCGAAAGCGAGGUCCUGGACGCCUACUGACGCUGAGACGCGAAAGCCAGGGGAGCGAACGGG
rnacentral:rRNA from 1 species